rnacentral:rRNA from 1 species
CUACCUACGGGGGGCAGCAGUGGGGAAUAUUGCACAAUGGGGGAAACCCUGAUGCAGCGACGCCGCGUGAGUGAAGAAGUAUUUCGGUACGUAAAGCUCUAUCAGCAGGGAAGAAAAAAAGUCCUUUGGACUUUGGACGGUACCUGACCAAGAAGCCCCGGCUAACUACGUGCCAGCAGCCGCGGUAAUACGUAGGUGGCGAGCGUUAUCCGGAAUGAUUGGGCGUAAAGGGUGCGUAGGCGGCCUGCUAAGUCUGGAGUGAAAGGUACCGGCUCAACCGGUACAGGCUCUGGAAACUGGCGGGC